GGAGGAGAUUUGGUCGGGUUGCAACUGAAAGCAGAUGGCAUAUAUAACAGAAAUCAUUGAAAACUAAAAGCCCUGCUGAGAGCAAUAUAUGACAUUCUCAAGGAAAUCUGUCUUUGACACCUUGUACUAUCAUUUAAAAAAAUUAAGAUCUCUUUUAUGAAUUGGGAAAAACACACACUCCAGAUCCUGCUGGUCCCUGCUCUGCCUUUGGACUGCAGAGCAAAGCAGGAGCUAUGCUGCCAGCUCCUGUAUAUAAUACACCUCCUUGUAUGUCCACCUCAUUCCAUUGUUGCUACAUGAAGGAGAAGACCAGUUCCUGUCCAGUUCCCAAGAUGAAAGAUGUCUGUUUGGAAAGAAGGGUACCCCAAGAAAAGAGACAUGGUGUCCAAGAACUGGGUAGAAGAUUUUACUUUUCCCAGUGGUGCAAGCAGUAAAUAUCACUCAUUUUUGACAAGUCUUAGAAACUACAUACAGGAAUGAGAAACGCAACCUUGUGUUCAACAAUCCUAAGUAGUGUGACUUGCUUCAUUUUUUGCCUGUUCAUAUAUCUUUUUAAGAGCCAGCCCUGCCAUGCCCAUGUCGAGGUGUCCUUGCAGGAUGGUGACAGAACAUCAAGACUCAUAAGAGAGCAGAACAGAGUCAAGUACAGAUAUGACUUUUCCUCAAUGACUGCUCAAUGGUAAGAAGCUUUCUGUUUUUAUAUAACUGACCACGUAAUUGUAAAAAUAGAUUAUUCUAGGGUGUUGU
rnacentral:lncRNA from 1 species